GAUGAACGCUAGCGGCAGGCCUAAUACAUGCAAGUCGAACGGUGUCUUCGGACAUAGUGGCGCACGGGUGCGUAACACGUAUGCAACCUACCUUACAUUGGGGGAUAGCCUUUCGAAAGGGAGAUUAAUACCGCAUAAGACAGUAACUAGGCAUCUAGUAGCUGUUAAAGAUUUAUAGAUGUAAGAUGGGCAUGCGUCCAAUUAGCUAGUUGGUGAGGUAACGGCUCACCAAGGCAAUGAUUGGUAGGGGAACUGAGAGGUCAAUCCCCCACACUGGCACUGAGAUACGGGCCAGACUCCUACGGGAGGCAGCAGUAGGGAAUAUUGGGCAAUGGACGCAAGUCUGACCCAGCCAUGCCGCGUGCAGGAUGAAGGCGUUAUGCGUUGUAAACUGCUUUUAUACAGGAAGAAACGACUCUUGCGAGAGGCAUUGACGGUACUGUAUGAAUAAGCACCGGCUAACUCCGUGCCAGCCGCCGCCGUAACAC
rnacentral:rRNA from 1 species